rnacentral:misc_RNA from 1 species
UGCCGUUACAUGAGGCUAUACUCAUAUCCCAUCCUAAGAUGGCACCUGCAAAGACAAUAAAUCUAAGAAGUUCAAUUUCUGGAAGGAUUGUUCAAGUAAUUGCUGAACAUACGCAUACCCAUGAAAGGCCUCUGCAAGCAAAGAUUACCAAGGUCUAUGCUCCUUUUUGGCUUUCAGUUGCACGAUGUCCGCCAAUUACUUUCAGGCUUAUAGACUUGAGUGGUCGGAAAACAAAG